rnacentral:rRNA from 1 species
UAAUACGGGGGGGGCGAGCGUUGUUCGGAAUUACUGGGCGUAAAGGGCGCGUAGGCGGCCGGCUCAGUCAGACGUGAAAUCCCUCGGCUCAACCGGGGAACUGCGUCUGAUACUGGCUGGCUUGAAUCCGGGAGAGGGAAGUGGAAUUCCAGGUGUAGCGGUGAAAUGCGUAGAUAUCUGGAGGAACACCGGUGGCGAAGGCGGCUUCCUGGACCGGUAUUGACGCUGAGGCGCGAAAGCCAGGGGAGCAAACGGGAUUAGAUACCCCGGUAGUCCUGGCCCUAAACGAUGAAUGCUUGGUGCGGCGGGUAUCGAUCCCUGCCGUGCCGAAGCUAACGCAUUAAGCAUUCCGCCUGGGGAGUACGGUCGCAAGGCUG